UGGGGAAUAUUGGACAAUGGGGGAAACCCUGAUCCAGCAAUGCCGCGUGGGUGAAGAAGGCCUUAGGGUUGUAAACCCCUUUCAGCGGGGAAGAUGAUGACGGUACCCGCAGAAGAAGCCCCGGCUAACUCCGUGCCAGCAGCCGCGGUAAUACGGAGGGGGCUAGCGUUGUUCGGAAUUACUGGGCGUAAAGGGCGCGUAGGCGGUCCAUCGAGUCAGGCGUGAAAGCCCCGGGCUUAACCUGGGAAUUGCGCUUGAUACUGGUGGACUGGAGAUCGGGAGAGGAGAGUGGAAUUCCCAGUGUAGAGGUGAAAUUCGUAGAUAUUGGGAAGAACACCAGUGGCGAAGGCGGCUCUCUGGCCCGCAUCUGACGCUGAGGCGCGAAAGCGUGGGGAGCAAACAGGAUUAGAUACCCCCGUAGUCC
rnacentral:rRNA from 1 species